GUCUCUCUAUCUUUCUCGACUCAUUUGAGGCUCCGUCCAACUUUACCGAUCUCUCCUCCUCCCCUAAUUAUCCGGCUCUCGAGUGUCGCCCCUGGCCACACCACACCAUCGUGACCACAUCGACUCUCUCACUCUCUCUCGUAGUUUCUCGGUCUCCUUCUCUCUCUCGCCCGAGUCUGGUUCCAGUCUCGCUCGAGUUGGGUGGCAAUUUGUCUUUCGACUUUCUAUUAUUCUCAUCUGACAGUUGCAUUGCACAAGGUAAGAAAUUGCACCUUCAUUUGUCAACUUUGAUUUCGAAUUCGAUGUAGGAUUCUGAAAUUGGGGAUUGGACUUUUGAAAUAUUGAUUUUGAUUUUGAAUUAAAAUAAGGGAUUUUGAUAUGAAAUGCGUUUCGGGAUUCUGAUUUUAAAAUGUGUUUGGGAUUCUAAUUUCAGAAUUUUUAUUAUGAUUUCGAUAUGGGUCUCUAAAAUUAAGGAUUAGAGUUUCGAAAUUUUGAUUUUGGUUUUGAAAUAAAAUUAGGGAUUCUAAUAUGAAAUGUGUGUCAAGAUUCUGAUUUCUAUUUGUGAAGUUUCAGAUUUUCAUUAAACUUUAGGCAAACUUUACAAGGCUUUAUACACCAAGAGGUCCAUAGAAUAUAAUGGUCCUGUAGCAGCUAUACAAUACAAUUAAAUACAAAUUACAAUUAAAUGAUAACAACUCAUCCUAAUUGCCCUUGUUCACACUCUCCCACAAACUUGACACUGGAGAGGAGACAAGUUUAGAACACAAGGACUGAAAACGCGUCUUCGACAAGCCUUUGGUAAAAAGAUCAGCCAGUUGCGAAAUGGAAUGAAGAAAGUGAACAUGGUGAAUUCCUGAAGCAACACGUUCUUGGACGAAAUGAUAAUCCAAAGCAAUAUGUUUCGUGACCGGAUUAGCUCGUGACCGGAUUAGCAGCCAUAUAUGAGAAGACUUAUCCCAAGGACGAGCGCAGUCAAGGGCGACUUAGGGGCUACGAUUCUUUGACAUACUAGUUUUAGGUAGACUUGCUGUUGGUGGCAUUUGUGGAUCUUAGCGGUUCUGACAAAGUAUAAUAUUCGUAGGAUUUCUUAUGGUACUGUAUAACUAGUACUUGUCCUACUGGACUGCACCUAGACUUCUAUGCUCUGAUUAGGUGUAUUUACACUUGUAUCUCAUUCCUAGCACUUUCUGUUUAUCAGUACACAUUAAUUAGCUUUCGGUUCUUAUUUAUUCGUAUAUUUCUUAUCCUUAUUGUU